rnacentral:misc_RNA from 1 species
UCCCCCGUGAGGGGGCAGUCUCGCCUGAUACUUAUAACAGGCAACGGGGGUUGCGUUCGUUACCCCACUGAAGGGAACGAUUCAAACCACGAACUGACGACAGCCAUGCAUCACCUGUCCUACACCCUCGAAGGCUUCCUAGCUUUCGCUAGGCGUGCAGUAGGAUUUCUAGCCCUGGUAAGGUUCUUCGCUUAGCGACGAAUUGAGCCACACGCUCCACCGCUUGUGCAAGCUCCCGUCUAUUCCUUUGAGUUUUAGCCUUGCGGCCGUACUACCCAGGCGGAUCGCUUAACGCGUUAGCUUCGCCUCAGAGAGGGUCGAUACUCCCUAAAGCCAGCGAUCAUCGUUUAGGGCGUGGACUAC